GCCUGCUUCUCUCUGCAGCUCUUGUGGCUGCAUCUUGUUUUCUGUAGUCCCAUGAGCUCCGAUGAGCAGGAAGGACCUCUUUGAUCUGUGAGGACUGGGGAGCAGGCUAAGUUCCCUGGGCACCCAUGUCCCGAGCACACUUGUAAGAGGCUGGACUUGGUCUUGGUCUUGGGGAGUAAGGCUUUGGAUCAUUCAGAAUGAGGCAGCAUUUGACAUCAAAGUGGUCACCUCCACAGCCGGUUUGUCCUGCUUAAUACUCAGAAGGAAGCAGAGGGACCAUCAGCCACCCGCAGAGAGCCUAUGGUCUACCUCCUAUGAAAGAAUGCACGAGCAGGUGAGAAGGAGACAAGGAACAUCAGUACACCACCUCUCACACUAGAGAUGCUCCACCUCCAACAUACUCAGCUGACUCUGCUGACUCCCUGGAUCUUCCUGAGCUGAUCCAGCCAGCUAAAGCACUUCCAUGUUCUCUGGGGUCUCAUUUUACCACCACUGAGGAAUCCUGGAAGGUUUCACCACGCCAGCCCUCCAACAAUAUGCAAAAGGAUGUCAGCGAAUGCAUGUCCAUGUGCGCAUGCCCACAGAUUCUCCUGGAUGAAGUGCCUACAGUUCCCAUCAUUCCCCAGAGGACUUUGCGACUUCAAAUCGUAAGAACUAAGCAUCUCAGGUAGGCUGUGGCCUGAGCCUUUCCUAGUCUCUUCAAAAGCUUUCUUCAAGACAGAAGAAGACCCUAUCGAGGUGAAGCCAAGUUAGGAACUGCUUCUGUGCUUCCAGUCUUGUGGCUCUGGGCACAUCCUGCGACCUCCUGGGCUCAUUAUCAUUGCUGGUAGAACACUACCUUCUUUCAGAGUUCCUGUGGGAAUUGACUUAGCUUGUAGCAUGAUCAUGAACUAUUAUAUCCAUAAAAGCGAUAGGAAGUGUUGACAUGGGAUCCAUUAUGUGAAGGUCAUGAAGGCUCGUUUAUAUGAUUGAACACAGGACAAAUCCAAACUCUAGCACAUACAUGAAACUAGAGCAAUGGCCCUAUCCCCAGCCAGUCUCUGUCAAUGUCUACUCACUUAGGCUCACAAGCAGGAACUGGAGGCUGAGGAACCUGAGCAAAGGCUAGGGGUGGAUCCAUUCGUUAGAGCAUCAAUAAAGGACCAUCAAGGGGAAACUCCUGGUCAAGCCGAUAAAUGCUCUGUCCUGUGCUGAACCAAUCACCUGACCAAGGGACCACCCUUAGGAAGGCAGGGCUCACCUUAAGCCUGCUAAGGAGAUGGGUGAAAUACUUUUUCCUUCAAGAAGACUCUACAUAGUCUUCACAGAACCCCCACUCCUAAUGUGGUAGCUUACAGAGAGGUAGCAAGACGGCUUCAUAGAUCUUCCCACUUCGGAAUCCCUCAGAAAAGCAUAACUUUUCAUUUUCACAUGCUCUAUCCAUGCUCAGACCACACUUUCCCUAAUGCCUUGGGCUUUCCCAUCUUUCUUUAAAGCCCCCCUCCCUGCCACAUGAGUGCUUGUCCUAUGUCUGCCCUCUGUACUGGCUCACAGAGAGCAAUUUCCCCCCUUCUCUUCUUCAUUCUUGUCCUCCGGGCAGCUGCUAAGGUUUACAGCUGGGGUGUUUUCCUUUUAAUCUCUACUAAAAUUGUCUUCAGACUUCUGUUUGAGUCAUUCUUAAAUUCAUCUAUUAAUGAAUCUAAGAGCCCCAGUUUUCUAAAUAUCCCAGGGACUGAAGGGACCACAAUAUAGGAAGAGGUAAAGACAGGCCAAUAAGAGGAUAGAGCUUCAUAAACCCUGGGCAUUUAUGCAGACUAUACCCAAGGAAAGCCAGGCAAUCUGUGAAGAUUUCUCCUCUUAGGAUUAAGUGGAAACCAGAAGCUGGUGGCUGGCUGCGAUGUGCAUCGUAGGCACAGUGGUCGGCUGCUUGCUCCAAUCCAGCCUCCAAAGGACGAGGGAAACCUUGGAAGUCACAGAACAAGAAAAGGACCUUCGACUCUUCUUGUGUUUUGCAUACUGGGAGUUGGGAAGAUGUCUGACACCUUUUUCUUUUACUGGCUAAAUACCAAGAGUAAGCCAGACAUUUAUGGUAAAUGGCCUCUUCACCAAGAGCAAAAAGACUUUUCAGCUUAACACAGUAAAACAAGGAAAGGAAGACAGGGCUGAUGGCUAAUGAGAGUCUGUGGAGAGACAUGUGGGUUCAAGAUAAUCCCACAGGGACUGACCUGUUCUCUGCCCAUCUUCACUGUGACUCUUGCUAAUGACAGAAAUGUAAAUUUGGGGUCCACGGGUCACAUCCAAAAGCAAGCCUGCCACUCUUACAAUUGAGAGCUCAUUUCCAGGAGCAGGGGAUAUUAUUUCAUUCCUGUAGGGAUGUCUCAGACCUUUGAGCUGACUACUUCCUGUCUUAACUUUGAAGGAAGUGGCUGACACAUAAAACCAUUUCUUAGUGGUUUUAAUAAAUGUUCUAUUUUCCCCCACACAAUGGGAACUGGUUACCUCUCCAAAUUUCACUUCGAGCAUCUUUAAGAACACAGAACUUGGCUUUCGGUCCACAUGUUAGUGCCUCCAAAUGUUAGAGGGUCUCUGAAGGCUCCGACCCUUCUCAUCUGUCAGUGUCUUGGAAAAGCGUGUUGUUACACUGAUCUCCCUGGAAUCUCAGAGGACAAAUGAAAGAUGUGUUGAGAUUGGAGGACUCAAGGCAGUGAGUGCCAAGGGGUUGUUUUCUGCUUUCCACGUCUCCAGGGGAUGUGAUAGACUUGCCAGAGUUCCAAGUUCGGACAUCUGGACUCGGCCCCCGAUUUUGUGGCUGGCUAAGACAUACAGUUAUUUGUUUUGUUUCUCAUCUGUAAAAUGGGAGCAAAUGAAGCCUGUUACUUGCUGGACACUCCCAUGGAAGAGAGUAGACAAAAAGCUAUUUUCAGACUUUCAGUCCCAAGAAGACAUUUCAGCUAAUAAUUUGUACCCUUGAAAUAAAAGGUAAAAG
rnacentral:lncRNA from 1 species